ensembl:misc_RNA Y_RNA Y RNA
GGCUAGUCACAGUGCAGUGGUAUUCACACCUAAUCGAUCACAACCACUUACAGAUUUCUUUGUUCCUUCUCCAUUCCUACUGCUUCACUUGGGCUAGCCUUUA